UUAGCGUGGUAGCUUGUCGAAGCUCGACGAGGCUGCCGACUCUCGAUUAACCUGACCGCAAAGGAAGCACAAGGAUCGCACCGGGAGACGGUUUCCUUCCCGUCUAUCACACUAGGCGAUCCAUGGAGGUUCCGUCUCAUCUAAAGCUCUCCGUUCUUUCAUGCAUCCUAUUGCUGUCAUCAUCUCAAAUUCAUGCUACAAGGGUCAAAUACUGCGAAAAGCAAGGAGACUAUGCUGUGAAGGUGAUUGGAGUUGAAAUAUCACCCGACCCUGUGAUUAGGGGGAAACCGGCUACCUUUGAGAUUUCAGCUGCUACGGGUGAGCCUAUUUCUGGCGGUAAGGUAAUCAUUGAAGUUUCAUACUUUGGGGUGCAUGUCCAUACAGAAACUCAUGAUCUUUGUGAGGAAGCAUCCUGUCCUGUCACUGCAGGAAACUUUGUGCUCGCUCAUACGCAAACACUACCUUCAUUUACCCCACCGUGUCAAGACUGGACUCACCCAAUUUUUCUGGUGGCAUGGCCUUUAAGAUAAUGCUCAACAUUCUUUAGGACACUGAUGCUCUUACGAUAUUCGCCUCUUCCUUUCUUCCUUACGCCGGGCUCUUAUGUCCUGAAGAUGACAAUGGAAGAUGAGAAGGAUGAGCAGUUAACUUGCAUCAACUUCAAUUUCACAAUCGAUUUUGGAUCUACAGUGUCCAACAUCUAAGUGUUCACGGUCUUCAGCAGGACUCGGGGGGUUGCUUCAACUUUGCAUAAUAUUAUUUUAUUUGUUGAGUUUUUUGUUAAGCUGUGCAUGUGUAUAUCAACUCUGAGGACCCUUGCCAAGUGGUGGGGAAACACAGUGAAGACGAUUAAGAACAUUCCUGUCAAUAAUGUUUUUAACAUGAA